rnacentral:rRNA from 1 species
UACGUAGGGUGCAAGCGUUGUCCGGAAUUAUUGGGCGUAAAGAGCUCGUAGGCGGUCUGUCGCGUCGGCUGUGAAAACCCGGAGCUCAACCCCGGGCCUGCAGUCGAUACGGGCAGACUGGAGUUCGGCAGGGGAGACUGGAAUUCCUGGUGUAGCGGUGAAAUGCGCAGAUAUCAGGAGGAACACCGGUGGCGAAGGCGGGUCUCUGGGCCGAUACUGACGCUGAGGCACGAAAGCGUGGGGAUCAAACAGG